rnacentral:rRNA from 1 species
UACAGAGGUCUCAAGCGUUGUUCGGAUUCAUUGGGCGUAAAGGGUGUGUAGGUGGCGCGCUAAGUCGGGGUGUGAAAAUUUUCGGAGCUUAAACUCCCGAAAACUGCAUUCGAUACUGGCGUGCUUGAGGACUGGAGAGGAGACUGGAAUUCAUGGUGUAGCAGUGAAAUGCGUAGAGAUCGUAAGGAAGACCAGUGGCGAAGGCGAGUUUCUGGACAGUAACUGACGCUGAGGCACGAAGGCCAGGGGAGCAAACGGG